rnacentral:rRNA from 1 species
GACGAACGCUGGCGGCGUGCUUAACACAUGCAAGUCGAACGGUAAGGCCCUUCGGGGUACAAGAGUGGCGAACGGGUGAGUAACACGUGGGUGAUCUGCCCUGCACUUCGGGAUAAGCCUGGGAAACUGGGUCUAAUACCGGAUAGGACCACUGCCUGCAUGGGUGGUGGGGGAAAGCUUUUGAGGUGUGGGAUGGGCCCGCGGCCUAUCAGCUUGUUGGUGGGGUGAUGGCCUACCAAGGCGACGACGGGUAGCCGGCCUGAGAGGGUGACCGGCCACACUGGGACUGAGAUACGGCCCAGACUCCUACGGGAGGCAGCAGUGGGGAAUAUUGCACAAUGGGCGCAAGCCUGAUGCAGCGACGCCGCGUGAGGGAUGACGGCCUUCGGGUUGUAAACCUCUUUCAGCACCGACGAAGCGCAAGUGACGGUAGGUGCAGAAGAAGGACCGGCCAACUACGUGCCAGCAGCCGCCGUAA